CUUAGGUUUAAAUACAGUGUAGAGACUUAAAACGCAUACUUCAUAUCUGGAGGAAGGUUCAGGGAUACUGUACCUGGGUGAGGCCUCGCUCCUCUGCAGACAUAGCAGUUAGACUUGUUAUGUUUAGUAGCAUUGUAUUUCAUCCAUUCAAGUCACAAGUUAGUGUCAGAGAAACCUGUCUCUACAGCCCUCUUAUCCUCAAAUAUGGGAUGACUACCAUGUCUUUUAAAGUCCUAAUGUGUGGUUUGAGGGGAUUAACAGUCAUGUGCGUGGCACCUACCCAUUCAGCUGAGUCAUACAUGUCCUGUAAGAAAAAGGUCUCCUGUUUAUUGUAUAAACCUCUUCCCUUCCAAUUCAGAUUUUAUUAGCCGUAAUGCUUGGGAGAAUAGAUUCAAACUUAGUUUCUUACCUUAAAAUUAUUUGGUACCCCCCUUGACACCCCUAUGGCAUUAAUAUACAUAUAUAUAUAUGUGUGGGUAAAACCACCCUUUAUAGGGGUACUCCUUUUUGUCCUGAAGCAUGAAUGAGGUGUGUCAAGAGUACCUUGGGGAUUGUCAUGUGUUAUGUGUAUGGACAUAAUAACCUAGGCUAGGGCACAUUUACUUAUUCUUAGAAAUCUUGUCUCAUGCUACCCUAGUACUGGCAGAUUCAGAUCAUUUAAACAUUCAAUAUUAAUAUCACCACAAACUCAAGAUAAGCAGAUGAUCUUGAAGAAG